GCCAAAAGCUUAGCCCCCCCCCCCUUUUUUUAAUAAAACACCAACAUUUCCCCCUAAAAACCAAAACAUUUUAUUAACUUAGUAAAGGCGAUUAAAAAGUUUAUAGGAGCUAUAAAAAUAGUACCGCAAGGGAAAAAUGAAAUAAAAAUGAAAUAAAUUUUAAGCGUAAAAAAGCAAAGAUUAAAUCUUGUACCUUUUGCAUCAUGGUUUAACCAGUCAAAUCAAGCAAAAUGAACUACAGUUUGAACCCCCGAAACUAAGCGAGCUACUUCAGGGCAGCUUCCUGAGCAAACCCGUCUCUGUUGCAAAAGAGUGGGACGACCCUUAAGUAGCGGUGAUAGACCUAACGAGCUUAGUGAUAGCUGGUUACUCAAGAAAAGGAUUUUAGUCCCGCCUAAAGUUAUUUUAAUCUCACAAAAUAAUCCCCUAACCUUAGAGUAAUUCAAAUAAGGUACAGCCUAUUUGAACAAGGAGACAACCUAGACUAAUGGGUAAUUCUAACUUAACAACAAAGUGGGCCUAAAAGCAGCCACCUUUAAAAUAGCGUCACAGCUUGUUUGUAAAAACAAUCUAUAAUCCCCCAAUCCCCCCAGACCCCUUUAUUUUUAUUGAGUAAUUCUAUAACUAUAUAGAAGCUAUACUGUUAAAACUAGUAACAAGAAGAAGCCCUUCUCUUAAAUGCAAGUGUAUAUCAGAAAGGACAAACCACUGAUAAUUAAUGCUUAUUAGACCACAGUAAUAACAUAACAAGAAAAUUUUACUUACUUACGCAUUAACCUAACACAAGAGCAUUACAAGAAAGAUUUUAAAAAGAGGAAGGAACUCGGCAAAUAUUAACCUCGCCUGUUUACCAAAAACAUCGCCUCUUGAAUAACAUAAGAGGUCCCGCCUGCCCAGUGACUUUGUUCAACGGCCGCGGUAUCCUAACCGUGCGAAGGUAGCGUAAUCACUUGUUCUUUAAAUAAGGACUAGUAUGAAUGGCACCACGAAGGUUAUACUGUCUCCCUCUUUUAAUCAGUGAAACUAAUCUCCCCGUGAAGAAGCGUGGAUAAUAAUAUAAGACGAGAAGACCCUAUGGAGCUUUAAACUAACUUCCCAACAACUAUGCUUGAUUUCGAGCUCAUGCUUUUAAUAACCAAUCUAGUUCUAUGGGAACAGGUUUUAGGUUGGGGUGACCACGGAGCAAAAAACAACCUCCAAGCUGUAAGGGGCCUCCCCCUGAGCAACAAGCUACAACUUUAUGCACCAACAUAUUGACAUUUAUUGACCCAAUAUUUUGAUCAACGAACCAAGUUACCCUAGGGAUAACAGCGCAAUCCGCUUCAAGAGCUCCUAUCGACAAGCGGGUUUACGACCUCGAUGUUGGAUCAGGGUAUCCCAGUGGUGCAGCCGCUACUAAAGGUUCGUUUGUUCAACGAUUAAAACCC
rnacentral:rRNA from 1 species